rnacentral:rRNA from 1 species
AUUGAACGCUGGCGGCAGGCUUAACACAUGCAAGUCGAGCGGAGAUGAGGUGCUUGCACCUUAUCUUAGCGGCGGACGGGUGAGUAAUGCUUAGGAAUCUGCCUAUUAGUGGGGGACAACAUUCCGAAAGGAAUGCUAAUACCGCAUACGUCCUACGGGAGAAAGCAGGGGAUCUUCGGACCUUGCGCUAAUAGAUGAGCCUAAGUCGGAUUAGCUAGUUGGUGGGGUAAAGGCCUGCUAAGGCGACGAUCUGUAGCGGGUCUGAGAGGAUGAUCCGCCACACUGGGACUGAGACACGGCCCAGACUCCUACGGGAGGCAGCAGUGGGGAAUAUUGGACAAGGGGGGGAACCCUGAUCCAGCCAUGCCGCGUGUGUGAAGAAGGCCUUAUGGUUGUAAAGCACUUUAAGCGAGGAGGAGGCUACUGAGACUAAUACUCUUGGAUAGUGGACGUUACUCGCAGAAUAAGCACCGGCUAACUCUGUGCCAGCCGCCGCAGUAAGAC